rnacentral:rRNA from 1 species
AGUGAACGUUGGCGGCGUGCCUAACACAUGCAAGUCGUACGAAACCCAAGGAGCUUGCUUUUUGGGAAAAGUGGCGAACGGGUGAGUAACACGUGAGUAACCUGCCCUCGAGCGGGGAACAACUUCGCGAAAGCGAAGCUAAUACCGCAUAAUACUCCGGAGCAUAAGCUUUCGGAGUCAAAGCUUUCGAGCGCUUGAGGAUGGGCUCGCGGCCUAUUAGCUAGUUGGUAGGGUAACGGCCUACCAAGGUGACGAUGGGUAGCCGGCCUGAGAGGGUGAUCGGCCACACUGGAACUGCGACACGGUCCAGACUCCUACGGGAGGCAGCAGUGGGGAAUUUUGCGCAAUGGGCGAAAGCCUGACGCAGCGACGCCGCGUGGAGGAUGACGGCCUUCGGGUUGUAAACUCCUGUCAGAGGUGAAGAAAUCUUCGGAUUGACGGUAA